GUAGGAAAAGUGCCUCAUAUGAUCAGGAACAAAGACAUUUUAUUAUCAGAUUUAUCAAGAUGUGAAGAGGGAGUUUUCGCAAACGGAAGCUGGAGCAUUCUGUCACCAGGAAAGACUGCUUUAUCCAGAAUUGAGCUGAAAAACUAGAAGUGGAGCCACAUGGAAUCCCAUGGUGUACAGCUAACCCACCAGCUCGAUAUUGAAGGAGAAAGGAUCA
rnacentral:lncRNA from 1 species